AGCUCGAGUUUGUCUUCAUUAUCGCAUAAAUCUUUCUCCUUUUACUAAAGAGUUCUGUGGAUGGGAACUUUUUGCGAGUUACCUGUAUUUUUGGAGGCUCUGAUCACAGCAGAACU
rnacentral:snRNA from 1 species